CCUACGGGGGGCUGCAGUGAGGAAUAUUGGUCAAUGGGCGCGAGCCUGAACCAGCCACGUCGCGUGAAGGAUGACGGCCUUAUGGGUUGUAAACUUCUUUUACAGGGGAAUAAAGUGAGUCACGUGUGAUUUUUUGCAUGUACCCUGUGAAUAAGCAUCGGCUAACUCCGUGCCAGCAGCCGCGGUAAUACGGAGGAUGCGAGCGUUAUCCGGAUUUAUUGGGUUUAAAGGGUGCGUAGGCGGGAUAUUAAGUCAGCGGUGAAAGUUUUCGGCUUAACCUUAAAAUUGCCGUUGAAACUGUUAUUCUUGAGUGCAGUAGAGGUAGGCGGAAUUCGUUGUGUAGCGGUGAAAUGCGUAGAUAUAACGAGGAACUCCGAUUGCGUAGGCAGCUUACUAUAUUGCUACUGACGCUGAGGCACGAAAGUGUGGGUAUCAAACAGGAUUAGAUACCCCGGUAGUC
rnacentral:rRNA from 1 species